AUUGAACGCUGGCGGCAGGCCUAACACAUGCAAGUCGAACGGUAGCACAGAGAGCUUGCUCUCGGGUGACGAGUGGCGGACGGGUGAGUAAUGUCUGGGAAACUGCCCGAUGGAGGGGGAUAACUACUGGAAACGGUAGCUAAUACCGCAUAACGUCGCAAGACCAAAGUGGGGGACCUUCGGGCCUCACACCAUCGGAUGUGCCCAGAUGGGAUUAGCUAGUAGGUGGGGUAAUGGCUGACCUAGGCGACGAUCCCUAGCUGGUCUGAGAGGAUGACCAGCCACACUUGAACGGAGACACGGUCCAGACUCCUACGGGAGGCAGCAGUGGGGAAUAGUGCACAAUGGGCGCAAGCCUGAUGCAGCCAUGCCGCGUGUAUGAAGAAGGCCUUCGGGUUGUAAAGUACUUUCAGCGGGGAGGAAGGCGGUGAAGUUAAUAGCUUCACCGAUUGACGUUACCCGCAGAAGAAGCACCGGCUAACUCCGUGCCAGCCGCCGCAGUAA
rnacentral:rRNA from 1 species